AGUGUCGCUCUCUGGACCGUGCCGCCUCUCAAUUAAGGUUCUCUCAUUGCAUUCCAAUAUUUCUCUCACUGCAUUCCAAUAUUCCAUCAUUGUCCCGCAAUUUGUCUGCAUUAAUCACAUUGUUCGGUCGCAAAAGGUGCUGCGCGAGUGAAAAAAGUGCGAAAAAAUAAAUAUCGGCGUGAUAUUCACGGAUUUUGCGAACCGUAAUGAAAAACCAACCCUCCGGAGGGUUCGGAAUCGAUCAACGUAUGAAAAUCUAAGCAUUAGACUUUUUUUGAUUAAAGAGAAAUGAAAUGUACAAGUGAAACAGAUAAGUGCCAGUGUUUUCAACGAAGUCCCGCUAGUUUCCGUCUCGCUUUAGUGUUUAGUUUAUUUAUCUUGUAUUUAUGUUUUGUGUAACAACACACAUAUUUUCUCUGGCCUGCAUUUUUCGGUGUCUUUGUGCAUUUCAUUUCCUGUGAUCUGUAAAUUUAUAUUCUGCGUAUACCUUUGCGAAUUUCAUCAAGAGAGAGCGAGAGAGAGCUAUCGGACUUCCCGCCGCAAACAGAAGUCCUUGCGAGGCGCGGAACGAGCGAGGAAAUUGAAAAGCUUAUUUAUGCCGUUGACAGUGCAACAAAAACGGGCAAAAGGACCAAGUUAAAGGCGAAGGAUACUCGAGGAUAGUCUUAGCAAAGCGGAAUAUGUCGGAAUUAAUUCAAUUUGAAAUAUAUUUAGCUGCAGAUAAGACGACAAUGAUGACUAAAGGAAAAGCAGCAAAAAAAGAAGAAAAGACGCUCUGCAGCAGCCACACAUCAUUAACAGACAGCGGGGAGGCGUUGCCCGGGCUUUCGUUACCUCGGAGAUUCGGAUUCAGAUGCGGAUUCUUACUUGGAUUCUCCUACACAUCUCUUUUUGAUACCCUACAAAAGACCCUGGCCCUGAUGACUUUGUUAGCCCGGCUGAAAAGGAGGAAAAGAGACCUGCCUGCCAUAAGAAUAAUGGCAUAAAGGACAGCAUCCCGACAAAAGACUUGUAUGGGAACACACCUUGCCCUUUUGUUUGCUUCAGGGGGUUUUAUGUUAUCAUCGUGAAAAAUGGAAUUAUGGCACAAGGAAAUGGAUUAAAAAGAAAAGGAAAGACUCAUGUCCAAGAUCUCUGAUUGCUCUUUUUAGAGUUUGUUUCCCUGGCAGCUCAUGUCAAAGUACCCUGUGGCAGAGUAUCCAAAAAACUGAAACAACAAAUACACCCGAAACAACACCUCCGCCCCCUUGGCACGCCUUAGUUUAAGGCAACCGCUGCCGCUUCAGCGUCUAUUGUAUUCCAUCGUCGAAAUAUGAGGCACGACUCUGGCAUUAAACUUCAAAAUAAAAAAAAGAAAAUAACAAAAAAAUAAAAAUAAAAACGAGCGCUGCGAAAAUGCCAAAAUGCAGCCAUGGCUAGGACUCUGGUGUUGGCCAGGCCAAGAACAAUAAAAUGAGCACAACACCAGGGAAAAAUACAAAAAGGCAGGAGAAGCGAAAAGAUAAGCAGACGGAGGAGAUGGACGAUGGAUGCUGCGAUGAGGAUGAGGACCAAGCUGGAUGAUGCUGCUGCUGCUGGGAGCCACUUCAGACUUGGGAUGUGCAAGUGUUGGCCAAGAAAUAAAAGUUGCUGACCUUAAGCCAAGUCUUGGGUCUUUGUCUUUUGUCUAUGCGGCCAAAGUAAAGUUUUACUUCUCUAGUACGUUUUUUUCUGCGUUGUACUUUUUAAAAAGGAUAUGAGGCAAAUACGGAAAGUUGUAGCAAGCUGCAGCAGCAGCAGUGGCAGCUGUUUAAUAAGUUCAAGCAAUUAAAAGUGUUUUCAAAGGUGCUGCUCCGCGGAGGAACUUCUGCCAGUCGUAGACAUUAAUAGGCGCAUAAAAUUGAAGUGGUUGGAGGAGGACCAGGAGCAGGAGGAGGCACUGUGCACCGGCUUAUGGCGUUGGCUUAACGAUGUGAGGAUCAUAAAGGCGGCUUAAUGAUGCCACAAGAGGAUCUCGAGUGGCUUGGAGCCUCUCCUCCUCCGCCGUUUUGUUAGCAAGCGGAUCUUGCCCGCCAGAUAAGUUGAAGGUGGCCCAAGCACGAUCCAUGUCGUACAGCCAUUAAUGCGGCUCACAGCGUCCUUCAGCUUCAAAUUAUUCUCUCAACUUUGAGUUGAGAAUAAAUUGCCGGCCGUCGCUUCACUUUCCGUUUCCAAAAUAUCAAAGCCACAGACUCCUCCGGCCUCGGGUACAUUAAAAGUGCCCCGAAAACAAAAUCCCACAUCAAUUUGGGUCAUUAAAGUUCCGAAAAACACAACGAAAAAAUCCAAAACUUUGCCGCCAAAUGCAGCCAUUAAAAGUGCCAAACAAAAUAAUUUCGGAUGGAGGCAACAACAAUCAACUAUUAAAAAAAAGGUAGAAGCAUAAAAAGUGCACACAAAAUCAAACAUAAAAAUUAAAUUAAUGGCCUAAACACUCACCCGCAUCUACCCCAAAAAACUUUGUUGGGAAAAAGCUUCAG